GCAGUGGUGGCUCAGUGGUAGGAUUCUCGCCUUCCAUGCAGGAGACUCGGGUUUGAUUCCCGGCCAGCGCA
rfam:Loxodonta africana unplaced genomic scaffold scaffold_45, whole genome shotgun sequence.